GCACUAUCAGCAGCAGGAGCAGCAGCAACCCCUCAACAGCAAUAUUGUACCCAUCAGCGUUGCAUAGAAAGCAGCUGAUGUUUUAAUCAUGGCCGCAGGGCUCAUUGUGAUGUGCAGCCACCUCUGGGGUCUCUAAUUGUCUCAGGCCAGGCUGGCUCGGCUGAUCACCCUGCGUCUGGAAUGGCUAAUGACUCACAGUGAGUCAUGUGCCUGGCAGCUAACGUUUGAAUGAAAGACAACAUGGGUCCAUAUAGCUGUGACACAUCUCACCAAAGCAACAAGUGACAGUCGGAGAGGGAGGAGAGCGGACGUGACAGCAGAGAGCGGGAGUGUCUGUGUCCCAGUGCAAAACAAAAACCACAGUUGUAAAUAAAAGUUCUGCUGUCAUCA